UUUGCUUUGUUUCUUUACUCCCCCAUUUGCUUCCAAACAAAGGAAAAAUCACUCUCUUCUGAGAAUCCAAACCUCCUCCCAGCAUAGGAUGACUUCUAAUCCAAACAAAAGUUCCUAUUGCUGCGGCUUUUUUUUUUUUUUUGGUUAUAAUCUCAAGAGUUUAAUAUAAUGUUUCCGUUUUUCAGUCUUUUUAAUCCAUUAUUUUUCUUUUUUUGGGGGUGUUUUUGUGGAUAAAUAUUCAGAUUUAAGUGGUGGUGGGUCAGCUACUAUGGCUUCAUCUCUGUUACUGGCUAUGGUGCUUGUGCUUGAUCUGGUUGCUUUUGCUCUCGCUGUUGCUGCAGAGCAGACAAGGAAUACUGUCUCGUUAUGGUGGUAACUAGAUGCAUGUGCUGUGGGAGAGCUAUGAGACCCAGUGGAUCAAGAUCAUGGUCAAUUUGCUUGUUCAUAUCACUAGCCGGAUCACAAAGCACUUCUUAAGCUCAAACCGGACAAGCUCAAAGGCAACAACAUACAAGACAUGAUAUUGUUUUCCCAUACAUGUAUGAUCCAGGGUGACAUUUAUCAUUGCUGCUUCGUGCCUUCUAGCGGGUUCUGUGAGAAACAUGUACCACACAGAGUACCGUGAUCCCAUCAUGGGAGAGAGAGCACCUUCAUGCCAAACCUUAAGGAAGGGAGUGUUUGGAGCUGGAGCUGCCUUCAUUGUUUUCACAGGCAUAACCUCGGAGCUCAAUUAUGUUAGUUUUUCAAAAGCUAAUAAUAAUGGUCCCCCUCCCUAUGCUAGGGACACUGGUGUGAGGAUGGCCAAUUUGUAGUAGUAGUGUGGGGAAAUUAAUUAGUUGUUUGUAAUGUUAAGUUGGAUGUGAAAGCCUACUUUGUAAAUUUAUUGAUAUAUAAGUAGUUAAAAAUAAAUGUUUAACAAUCAAUUUAUUUUUCAUAAAA